rnacentral:rRNA from 1 species
UACGUAGGGUGCAAGCGUUAAUCGGAAUUACUGGGCGUAAAGAGCUUGUAGGCGGUUUGUCGCGUCUGCCUGUGAAAAUCCGGGGCUCAACCCCGGACUUGCAGUGGGUACGGGCAGACUAGAGUGCGGUAGGGGAGAUUGGAAUUCCUGGUGUAGCGGUGGAAUGCGCAGAUAUCAGGAGGAAUACCGAUGGCGAAGGCAGAUCUCUGGGCCGUAACUGACGCUGAGGAGCGAAAGCAUGGGGAGCGAACAGG